rnacentral:rRNA from 1 species
AUAGAGACUCAGAGCUGCAUAUCAAUAAGGGAGGAAAAGAAACUAACUAGGAUUCCCCUAGUAACGGCGAGUGAAGCGGGAAGAGCUCAAAUUUGAAAUCUUAAAGGGUUUCCCUUUACGAAUUGUAGUUUAAAGAAGUGUUUUCUGUUAGUGGAGUUCGGUAAAAGUUCUUUGGAAUAGGACAUCAUAGAGGGUGAGAAUCCCGUAUUUGGAUCAGUUACUUUCUAGCUGUGUGAUACACUUUCAACGAGUCGGAUUGUUUGGGAAUGCAGUCCAAAAUGGGUGGUAAAUUUCAUCUAAAGCUAAAUAUUGGCGAGAGACCGAUAGCGAACAAGUACCGUGAGGGAAAGAUGAAAAGGAACUUUGAAAAGAGAGUUAAACAGUACGUGAAAUUGUCAAAAGGGAAGCGUUUGACACCAGUGUUGUUUUUUCCGAAAAUCAAUUACGAAUGUUUUGUUUUUGAAGAAGUUAUGACUUCAUCGGCUUGCUCCUUUCUUUACGAAACUUUCUUAAUGCACUUUUCGGUUAACAAGUCAACAUCAAUUUCUUUUGUUGUAAAAGGGUAUGAGGAAGGUGGCUUUCUUUUCGGAGAAAGUGUUUAUAGCCUUGUGCCUCUGCAAUCGGAGAGAUUGAGGUCUGCAGCGUAGAUCCUUCGGGGUUAGAUACGUUUGUGCUAAGUUAUAGCUUUUCAUAGACAACUUGUUGACUAUGUUUAGUCUUGUAGCUUACUCGCUGACGCUAUUUUACCUACGCUUAGGAUGUUGAUAGUCACAGCGUGUAC